AUUGAACGCUGGCGGCAUGCUUUACACAUGCAAGUCGAACGGUAACGCGGGGCAACCUGGCGACGAGUGGCGAACGGGUGAGUAAUGCAUCGGAACGUGCCCGGUAGUGGGGGAUAAUUGCUCGAAAGAGCAGCUAAUACCGCAUACGACCUGAGGGUGAAAGGGGGGGAUCGCAAGACCUCUCGCUAUUGGAGCGGCCGAUGUCGGAUUAGCUAGUUGGUGGGGUAAGGGCCCACCAAGGCGACGAUCCGUAGCUGGUCUGAGAGGACGACCGGCCACACUGGGACUGAGAAACGGCCCAGACUCCUACGGGAGGCAGCAGUGGGGAAUUUUGGACAAUGGACGCAAGUCUGAUCCAGCCAUGCCGCGUGCGGGAAGAAGGCCUUCGGGUUGUAAACCGCUUUUGUCAGAGAAGAAAUCUUCUGGGUUAAUACCUCGGGAGGAUGACGGUAUCUGAAGAAUAAGCGCCGGCUAACUACGUGCCAGCCGCCGCCGUAAAAC
rnacentral:rRNA from 1 species